rnacentral:rRNA from 1 species
CCUACGGGAGGCAGCAGUGGGGGAUAUUGCACAAUGGGGGAAACCCUGAUGCAGCGACGCCGCGUGGGGGAAGAAGGAUUUCGGUAUGUAAAGCCCUAUCAGCAGGGAAGAAGAAAUGACGGUACCUGAGUAAGAAGCACCGGCUAAAUACGGGCCAGCAGCCGCGGUAAUACGUAUGGUGCAAGCGUUAUCCGGAUGUACGGGGUGGAAAGGGAGCGCAGGCGGCACGGCAAGCCUGAUGUGAAAGCCCGCGGCCCAACCGCGGGACUGCAUUGGGAACUACCGGGCUGGAGUGCCGGAGAGGUAGGCGGAAUUCCUAGUGUAGCGGUGAAAUGCGUAGAUAUUAGGAGGAACACCAGUGGCGAAGGCGGCCUACUGGACGGUGACUGACGCUGAGGCUCGAAAGCGUGGGGAGCAAACAGGAUUAGAUACCCGUGUAGUC